rnacentral:rRNA from 1 species
GACGAACGCUGGCGGCGUGCUUAACACAUGCAAGUCGAACGGAAAGGCCCUGCUUUUGUGGGGUGCUCGAGUGGCGAACUGGUGAGUAACACGUGAGUUACCUGCCCUUGACUUUGGGAUAACUUCAGGACACUGGGUCUAAUACCGGCUAGGAGCUCCUGCUGCAUGGUGGGGGUUGGAAAGUUUCGGCGGUUGGGGAUGGACUCGCGUCUUAUCAGCUUGUUGGUUGGGUAGUCUCUUACCAUGGCUUUGACGGGUAGCCGGCCUGAGAGGGUGACAGGCCACAUUGGGACUGAGAUACGGCCCAGACUCCUACGGGAGGCAGCAGUGGGGAAUAUUGCACAAUGGGCGGAAGCCUGAUGCAGCAACGCCGCGUGCGGGAUGACGGCCAUCGGGUAGUAAUCCGCUUUCGCCUGUGACGAAGCGUGAGUGACGGUAAUGGGUAAAGAAGCACCGGCUAACUACGUG